rnacentral:tRNA from 1 species
GCGCCCGUAGCUCAGCUGGAUAGAGCGUCAGUUUGCGGUACUGGAGGUCGCAGGUUCGACUCCUGCCGGGCGCACCA